UCUGCAACGAUUGGAAACGUAUCAAGUCAGCUAACUGUUGAUUCAAUUUUGAGGAUUGUUGCUGACACCUUUCCAUGUACUCCUUCAAUACUAAGGAAAAGAAAACGUGAUAAAGCAACACCUGCUUCGGGUAAUGAGUUAAAGACAGGUGGAGUAAGCAAUGAUAGCUUUUACACUCCUAAUGGAACGAAUGGGAAGGAUACUACUUCUCCAAGGUCGUUUAAAACUGCUGCAUCUUUUUUGUCGCUGGGUUCUGUUAAUGGGUUAUUGACUUCUGCAAGGAGCUUUGAUUCUUCACCACCCUAUCAGAAGAAAAGGUCAAAAAGAAUGGCCAUCAUCAAAUCAGUUGAGAAACAGCUAGAUUUUUCAGCAGAUGGACUGGAUACUUCUGGUUCUGAGAUUAUGAACUCUCCUUGCCAUAAUUCCCAAGGUGCAAAUUCUAACAGGAUGUAGCAACUGAUUUGAUUGCAAUCUAAUUCCAUAAUGUGCAGGAAUUGAUCUCAAUCUUAUGAAGCCAUACAGGACUUAGAAUCCCGUCCUAACUAACCAGCCUCAUGCAAAUGUCCUGGUUCAUGCCAAAAUCCAAAUCAAACACCUUCAGUGGGGACAAGACCUUACCGACAGUUACCCUGUCAUCUCAUGUAAUCAGGGGUGUACAAAAUACUGUCUAAAUUGAAAGCACAUUCCAUAGAAGAUUACAUUGUUUGCUGCAUUUUGUGAACUUAUAGCUAGAAGUUCAGAUUAUAGAAACCCACAGCUGUGUACAAAGAAGAAAAACAUAGCUUUAGAAACAUAUAGAGCUUCCCAGUGGAAUGUCAAAUUGUUCUUAGUUUCUUUUAUUGCGCGC